rnacentral:rRNA from 1 species
UACAGAGGAUGCAAGCGUUAUCCGGAAUGAUUGGGCGUAAAGCGUCUGUAGGUGGCUUUUUAAGUCCGCCGUCAAAUCCCAGGGCUCAACCCAGGAAUUGCUUCGGAUACUGGCGUGCUUGAGGCUAGUAGGGGUCACUGGAACUGACGGUGGAGCGGUGAAAUGCGUAGAUAUCGUCAGGAACGCCGAUGGUGAAGACAGGUGACUGGGCUAGUUCUGACACUGAGGCACGAAAGCGUGGGGAGCGAACGGG